ensembl:lncRNA
GCCUCUCAUCUCAGCAUGUUCUCUGGCAAAUCCUGAAACAAUAUGUGGAAAGCGGGGGAGAGCAGCUGGAGCUACGUGUCACCACUUCCUGCAACCUGUAGGCAGCCCGGAGCUUCUGCUUAGCUCUUCCUUAGCUCUGAGGUGCAGAACCAAGGGAAAGGAAAGCAUGUAAGGUCAAACAUGGGGUCGAGGGUUUUGUUGUUUACGGAAAAAAAUGAAUGCAAUUGUUAUUUCCAUCCAGGCAUUUUAGACCCUCUGAAUAAGCAACGUGCUGUACUUCUUCCACCACCACCACAAUAUCCUCUAAUGUCUUCUUUCCAGAGGAAAAGCCUCUUUAAGGCAAGAAGUAGGGCCUUUUUCUCACUGACACAACUGGCAUGAACAGUUCAGGCAGAUGCUGAAAGGCCACAGUUCCCCAGUCCGUGAGUAGCCAGGCUCCAGCAGCUGGCUCUGUGCAGAAUAAAGUGCAAGCAAUCUGCACAUCUGUGUCUGACAGCCCACACAUGCCCCAUCCAGCUGGCAUUCAGGGCUGGACCUUUGAUGCUGUACUGCGCGGGCAUAGUGAGGAAAUGCGGAGGUUGUUGUCACAGAUUAUCAACAGCACCCCUUCCCAAAAGAAUAUGAGGUUUCUCUCAGUGCCGAGCAAAAGCAAAACAGCCUGCACCCACCCUUUUCCACAGACAGACUUGAGACUCAGCACUCUAAGGACAUAACUCCGCUAGUCCAGGGCCCUACAGCAUAGCUCAUCAAGACAGCUC